rnacentral:rRNA from 1 species
UACGUAGGGCGCAAGCGUUGUCCGGAAUUAUUGGGCGUAAAGAGCUCGUAGGUGGUUUGUCGCGUCCGCUGUGAAAACCCGAGGCUCAACCUCGGGCCUGCAGUGGGUACGGGCAGACUAGAGUGCGGUAGGGGAGACUGGAAUUCCUGGUGUAGCGGUGAAAUGCGCAGAUAUCAGGAGGAACACCGAUGGCGAAGGCAGGUCUCUGGGCCACUACUGACGCUGAGAAGCGAAAGCAUGGGGAGCGAACAGG